UACGUAGGGGGCUAGCGUUGUCCGGAAUCAUUGGGCGUAAAGCGCGUGUAGGCGGUCCGGUAAGUCCGCUGUGAAAGUCGGGGGCUCAACCCUCGGAUGCCGGUGGAUACUGUCGGGCUUGAGUACGGAAGAGGCGAGUGGAAUUCCCGGUGUAGCGGUGAAAUGCGCAGAUAUCGGGAGGAACACCAGUAGCGAAGGCGGCUCGCUGGGCCAUACCUGACGCUGAGACGCGAAAGCGUGGGGAGCAAACAGG
rnacentral:rRNA from 1 species